rnacentral:rRNA from 1 species
AGUUUGAUCAUGGCUCAGCUUGAGACGUUAGCGGCAUGCCUAAGACAUGCAAGUCGAACGGUAACGAUGNNAAGCUUGCUUCCAGGCGACGAGUGGCGUGACGUGGUGAGUAAUACAUAGGAAUCUACCCUGCUAGCUGGGGUGACAACCUGAGGAAACUCAGGCUAAUACCGCAUAAUCUCUACGGAGUGAAAGGGGGCUUCGCGCUCUCGCUAUUNGGAUGAGCCUAUGUCUGAUUAGCUUGUUGGUGGGGUAAAGUGUCUACCAAGGCGACGAUCAGUACGCUGGUCUGAGAGGAUGAUCAGCCACACUGGGACUGAGACACGGCCCACGACUCCUACGGGAGGCAGCAGUCGGGAAUAUUGGACAAUGGGGGAAACCCUGAUCCAGCAAUGCCGCGUGGGUGAAGAAGGCUCGCGGGUUGUAAAGCCCUUUCAGUAGCGAGGAAAAGCUGAUGGUUAAUACCCAUCAGUCUUGACGUUAACUACAGAAGAAGCACCGGCUAACUCUGUGCCAGCAGCC